rnacentral:snRNA from 1 species
UUAGCAUUACCUUUUGGCUAAGAUCACGUGUAGUAUCUGUUCUUAUCAGUUUCACCUUUUGGCACAUUUACAAUUGUAAACAUUGGAAGUCUUUUUCAUUUGUUUGAAUUUUAUUUGAUUUGGGUUUACUUCUCUCAAGGGAGGAUAGUCUUUCAUCAACUUAAACCUAAACUUUGGUUGAAGCUUACACCAG